GACGAACGCUGGCGGCGCGCCUAACACAUGCAAGUCGAACGAGCGAGAGAGAGCUUGCUUUCUUGAGCGAGUGGCGAACGGGUGAGUAACGCGUGAGGAACCUGCCUCAAAGAGGGGGACAACAGUUGGAAACGACUGCUAAUACCGCAUAAGCCCACGCCCCGGCAUCGGGUUGAGGGAAAAGGAGCAAUCCGCUUUGAGAUGGCCUCGCGUCCGAUUAGCUAGUUGGUGAGGUAACGGCCCACCAAGGCGACGAUCGGUAGCCGGACUGAGAGGUUGAACGGCCACAUUGGGACUGAGACACGGCCCAGACUCCUACGGGAGGCAGCAGUGGGGAAUAUUGCACAAUGGGGGAAACCCUGAUGCAGCGACGCCGCGUGGAGGAAGAAGGUAUUCGGAUUGUAAACUCCUGUUGUUGAGGAAGAUAAUGACGGUACUCAACAAGGAAGUGACGGCUAACUACGUG
rnacentral:rRNA from 1 species